rnacentral:lncRNA from 1 species
GAGACUUCGAAGAGACGACGGAGCGGACGGUGUCCGGGUGUCCUGAGGGGGGAGAAUGGAGAGCAGCCGCCGCCCGAGGGCGACGGGUUCCCAAGGGAGCGGGGCGGGAAGAAGCGGCACAGACCCCGACGGGGUUAGAGGCAGGCAGUGGGCGACCUCCUUGCCCAGGAGUACGUCGUUGACGUCGUGUGUGGCCGAGUUAGGUCUUGGUGUGAUUCGGGCAGGUUUCCAUAGGGCCGACCCAUGACAUUUUGGCACCUGAGGCGAACCGCAAAAUGGCGCCCCCUCCCGCCCCACCGGGGAAGAAGGGCUGUGUGAAGGUCUACAUCAGGAACAAGGGCAGGGAGAAGAUAAAGAUCUGACUCAGGUUCUUCUGCUGCCCCUGUGGAUCCUGCCACCUCAGGCUGUCACCUCCCCUUACCUCAUGGCUGGGCCGGUCCUGGGUUUCCAGUACAGUGGUACCUCGGGUUAAGUACUUAAUUCGUUCCGGAGGUCCGUUCUUAACCUGAAACUGUUCUUAACCUGAAGCACCAUUUUAACUAAUGGGGCCUCCCACCGCCGCCGGAGCAUGAUUUCUGUUCUCAUCCUGAAGCAAAGUUCUUAACCCGAGGUACUAUUUCUGGGUUAGCAGAGUCUGUAAUCUGAAGCGUAUGUAACCGGAGGAGGUGCCACUGUAUACGAAUGUGCCACCCCCCCCCCCCCGCUCAACCCAUGUGCAUCUGGAGUCUCCGACACAGCACAGCUCAAAAGAGCCUUGUGCUGCUCCACUGUGCGGGUCACACCCCGGAAACCUCACUUUGGUGCCCUCAGGGAAAUUGCUUUGGCGCAGAAGUCCAGGGUCCCCACCCAGCAGAAUCAUGCGUGGAAGGGCACCGAAACAAAUGCAGUAGGGCUUCUGGCCUACCACAUAUUGAAGGAAGUGGGAAGGCAUUUAGGUAAAGUAAAGGGACCCCUGACCGUUAGGUCCAAUCAUGAACGACUCUGGGGUUGCAGUGCUCAUCUCGCUUUAUUGGUCAUGUGGCCAGCAUGACUAAGCCGCUUCUGGUGAACCAGAGCAGCGCAUGGAAACGCCGUUUACCUUCCUGCCGGAGUGGUACCUAUUUAUCUACUUGCACUUUGACGUGCUUUCAAACUGCUAGGUUGGCACUUACUGCCAUCUAAAGGAGUAGGUAAGGGGAUACCCGAUAACACUGUUGCUUCCAGAGGUUGGAAUGAGCCAAAUUGUACCGCUGUCUUGAGAACCCUUUGGGGUUUUGACGGUGCUGAUUCAACAGGAAGAAAGCUAGAUGGGGUAAAAAUCUCUCAUAAAGGUGAAGCCUCUGUCUAUCAUAGUCGGACCUUUGUUUAUUUCCAUCAGGGGUCAAGCAGGGCUCUCCUCGACUCCUGACAUAGCCAAAUUAGUGUAGCAUUUGCCAUCUGCCUCUGCCUGUUUGGCAGCAAUAUUCUAGAAAACUCUGCGUCAGCUCCAACUUCCUUCCCAUCCUAGUAGUUUGGAGACGUUUCUGCUGCCUCAUCUGUGCCCUAACCUCAGUCCCCACCCAGCUCACUGUAACCCAUGUUAGCAAGAUGCCAGCCGGCUGAUAGAGGCAAGCAUGGAUCCAUGGCCUAACCUGUGUGGAUUCUUCCACAACAAGCACAGUGUUUUCAUUUGUCCCAAACCUCUGAGAAUAUUAUCCUGCUCCCCCUAGGAGUUCACCAGAACUCUUAAGUUGGAUGCUAAGCAAAGGAGGUUGGGGGGGGGGGGUGGCUUGUUUUUAAGACAUGCCUGCAUGGAUAAAAAAUUCAUUUUUUUUCUUUAGUUUUCAGAGAAUAAUGACCAUAGGGGUUGUCUUGAAAAGUGCCUGUACAUCAAAAUUUACAAUAAGUAAAAGGUUCCAGAUUCCUCAGAGUGUCUUACAGCACUGCACCAAGUUUAAAUGAGAUUUGAUUUUCAUUGGGAGAGUUGCCAUUUAGAGGCACAAAAGAAUGCCUGCUUUUCACUGUUUUGCACAUUUCUUCAUGCCAGUUUGCAGACAUUGUCCCUCUCCCACAUGUGAACCAGGCUAAGAGUGAGCCUUUAAAUCAACAGAGCAAAGUGGUUCAGAAAGAGAAGGUACAGACAGGUAGAUUGUGCCUUAUUUCAGAUACAUGAGAUAUUAGAAGAUUGGCUUAAAUGACAAGUAAUGGUAAUUUAACCAUAGAUUACCAAAACAAUGCCUUAUUCGUUUUAACAGUCAGGUGGAAUUUUGCUUCACGUUUACAUAGUAGGAACUGGGCUCUUAUUUGUGAGAUUGGCUGGCUGGCAGUGCUUUAAAUGCUUUAUACUGAUGUUUAAUUUUUCAUGUUAAGUGAGUUAUUGGAGAGUCAUGGCUUGUUUUGUGCUAGAUUGAAAUGACUGGCAUGAUUCAUACUGGCUUACUUCUUGUUAAUUAUUGUGCAAUUUGCUAUGCCCUCUGGCUUAAGCAAUAAACUUGUCCUGCUACUGCUUCAUUGGUCAUGGAGAUACAGAACCCAAGUACCUACUCAGAGUAAUGGUGAUAUAAAUUUAUUGUUACACCUCCUAACAGAGUCACUGUUCGGGGUGAAAGAGAAAUAACACAUCUAAGAGUGUUAUUUUCUCAAGCAUCUACAUUUUUUGUAUUAUUUUACUAUCCAGUUUCCUCUGUCAUCCCUUUGUUUAAGCUAGACUGGUUUACCCAUGAAUGUCUCACUCGAUGAUUGCAAGUUGAAGCAAUUAUUGGAUGGUCCAAACAAAAAGCUUUCAAGUACCUGUCAUCCAGUAUAGAGAAGUAAAAGGAGGUAUGUGCAUGUAUGAAACAGAAAAUUUUCAUCCCUUUGGGACACACUUUCUUUUGAGGUUUGUACAUAGCACAGAUAAUCACUGGGACUUAAUAAAUGCAAGUAAUAUAAUAAAAAUGGGAGGUGAAAAAUAAAAUUUAGUGCUUUCUCUCUUCUACUCUGUUACCUCUUCUGCCCCAGCUUCCAACUGAGUUGAUGCUUCUCCAAUUUUAAGAUCCAACUUGUGGCCAAUGAUUUGUUCUAGAAUGCUCAACAGUGGAAUAAGUUUGGGCGCGGGGGGGGGGGCGGGGGCUAGGAACUGUCAGCGCUGCUGUGGCUGGCUGCUAGUACAAUUCAGGCUGCCUGCAUCACUGCUGACAUUCACUCUACCAUAUUCAAAAUUCUUGCUCAACCAAACGAUUUCUCCUUCUGGUGGUUGUGAUAGAGGAGAUGGAAAUCUCUAAAAUGUGAGCCAAGGAAGAGGAACUUCAGAAUGGAGAAGUGGCAAAGGAAGAGUUAACUGAGGUAAAGAGAUAAGAAUGCAAAAAAAAAGGGGAUCUUACUGUUUGCUCACCAAAAACCUUCCUAGUAAUUCUCAUCCAUUUCAGUUGAGGUUAGUUUUUAAUAUGAGUGCUUAGGAUCACAGUCUUCAGAGUAACACAUUCUGUAUUCUGAUUCCAAUUAAACACUCUUGGUGAUGUUUGCAAACAUCAAAAAAAUGGCAAACAACUGCAUACAGGAAGAAAGUAUCAGCAGACUAGGGGUAACUUUGAAGUUUGCAGAAGUACAAAAAAGAUUUAGGCAGAAAUCCUUUAAUCUUGGAGAAACCUCAAGAUUGUAAUGUCGCUGGGAUUAGAGAACCUUGUGUCUGUCCCAGCCCACUGAGGACUUUUACCUUUAAAAGGUGGGAUUUAAAUACAGCAAAUAUAUGACAAAAAGGAUUCAAAUAAUGUUGUACCCCGCAAACUAGCAGAGCUGAUGGGCAGUGCAGCUUCUCUUAGCAAAGGUUAGUUUUGAUAGAAAGCAGCUAUUAACUGAGCUUGGGGAGAGUAGGAGCUGGGUGUAAAAGACACAGGAAGGCAUGUCGCUGGAUACAUGGAUCUUAGGCAAGUUGAAAGGGAGGCCAGAGAAAAAAUGGCAUGGACUAGAAGUAUAGAUGGUGAAGAGAGAAGGGCUCAGUUAUGGUGUAAUGUAUGUAAUUGAUGACGUUCACUUGCCCUCUUCGGGAAAGGGGGUGCUAUUCUUACUCUUCUGUUAAAUUCAUAUUGAAAUUCAGUAAAAUGAACUUUCCAAAAAGGAGAGAUUAAAGGGAAAUUGUGGUAGAGGUGUCCAGGAAACGAUGGAACACUGAGAAGGGAGGGCAUGGGGAAAAUUUUCACGCAGGGCAGGAGUAGGUGGGUGCUGUAGAUAGCUGACAAGCAGAGGCACACUUGGUCAGGGAGUUGUGGGUGUUAAGAGGGGGAAAUGAAAAUGAAAAUACAAGUUGAAAUCAUUGUGAUUGUAGCUGAUUUAUUAAUUCUGUUUCACUCAUGUUGUAACUGUCACCUUAGUCAUCCAAGCUCUCUAUUCGCUUUUCUGCAAACAAGCUAUGGCCCAUCUCAAGAGGCUGGCAAGAAACUUUCCUACUCAAAUUAGCACCCAUCCCUCUAUCCUUGCCAGAUAGUGCCACCCUCAAACCUUGAGCCUAAAGCUCUCUUCAAGUGCUGAAAAGACUUAGUGGCAACAAAGGGAGAAAGGCAUGAGAGGUUCCAGUUAACCAAGCACUCGAUCUAAAAGAGAGCGCAUUAACAGCCUUGUUAACAAUAAUGUGUCAUUGGAAGUAAUAUACUUGAGAUUAACCAAAUGAUAUGUAAGUGAGCAAGAUACUAUUUGAUGCAAUUUCCAUUAAUUAAAUUUAUGACCCUUACUGCAAUUUAAACCAUGGUAACACUCCCUGCAUGCUGGCGAAUGAGCUGUCAAAUACCUCCGAGUCUAGCCAGCUUGAGAGAAAUUGAUUAAAAAAUGAGGGGAGGGGGCAGAAUGGACCUGAAAAUGGGCCUGGUCCUCUUGCUUAAAAAUGGAACAGAUCCACUUUUGCUUGCCAGGAUUAGAUGUCAUCCUUGUAGAAAGAGAGUCCUCAAAGAACAAAACACAAUUUCCCGCAAAAGCACAGAUGGCAGCUAGAGGUGGCAAAAGCUUCUUCCUUCACUUUCUUUCACAUCUCCAACCUCUAUCUCUAGCAAUGGCACUGGGGAGCCUGCAGCCCUCCAAAUAUUGGUGGACUGUAGCUCCCAUCAUCCCUGGCUAUUGGUCAUGCUGGCUAGGGCUGAUGGGAACUGGAGUCUAACAACAUGUGGAGGGUUACAGCUUUCCCAACCUGGCUCAGAAUCCAAAAAUGAGUCUUGUUACUUGUACCCAUCUUGCAGAACUAAACACUCCAUUCUACAGCUGCAAUAGCCACUGAUGCAAGGGAAGAAGGGCAUUGAUUGAAAAAACCCCAGCAGAAACUAAAGUACUGUUUUCAUUAGAGUAAAUCCCUCUUUUCUGGAAAUGCUUGUUCCUUUAACAGGCUGUGUGGCAACCUUUUGCAGGUCAGAGAUGCACCUGUUGAAAUUGCCUGUCACACAGCUAUUAAUGGCACAGGAGCUCUGCCAGGGAAAAAAACACACAGGCAAGAACUAUAGUUUGUCAUCAGUGUAGGCAGAUCAUAGGGCUAAUAGGACAUGGCUGAACAAUGCAGCAUGGAAUUUUGUUUUUGUGUGAUGGGCCGCUGUUAAAGGCAAAGGAGACUGCAUAGUUAUCUUAUCUAUUGUGGUAUCUGCCUUAAAGCCGUUCAGAAGCUUUCACUUCUGAUUUUGAUUAGCUAUGGUUUAGUGUGCCAUCCCAACAGCAAACUGUAAUUCUUCUAUAAUCUAUGGUUUGUUUAAAGAAGCCAACUUUACAUAUACAUUUAGUAUAUCUGAAUCAGGCUAGAAUGUCCAUAUUCCUUUUGAAAAGCUAUUUUAAGACAGAGGUGAGGAACACCUUUCUGCCCUUGGCACAUGUGCCAAAAGUGGGCAGGGCCUAACCCAAAAAGGUGUUAAAAGUGAGUGACAAGUCCCACCUCCAGUUCUUAACUAAUAGCAACUUUAAAAUUGGCAACCCAUGUUGUAGGCAGUAACUUCUUAAAACUCCCUUUAAACAGUUUAGUGCUGAUGGCAAAAUUUAGAUAUAUACCAUGGCAUCAGAACAAGAAAUCUCAUAGCAGAAACCUAUUCCAAUCUUCAGUGCCACCCCUUAUGAAGUUCUUAAUCUGGCAGAGCAGGAAUAUUACGAUCUAGCUGAAGAUCUAAGCAAGGGCUUAACUUGAGGCAUUUGCUUUUUCUGUGCUGGUUGGAGAGAGACCACCAUGGAUCUGUGCCCAAAUUCUCUUUACUGGCUUGUGCUUGAAAGUGGGCCAGCUUGCAGCUUUGGCCAAGCAAAGAGGGAACCUUUCUUUGUUCCCAGCUCUCCCUCCUAAAAAAAGACACAAGUCUAUGGAAAACUCAGUUCUAGGAGCUUGUAAGGUACAUUCCUGUCUUCAAAAUUAUUGGCUACCUCCUUACUUGUACUGGCCCUGAAAACGAAGAUCUAGGGAGACUGCAUCGCAAACAUACCCUCCCACCACCAAAACUUUUCUCUAGAGCCUUAGCACAGCUCCACGAGUCUGGGCAGCAGAACUGCUUACAUUACUCUCAGUUUAUUUACACAGUCUUCAACACCACGGCACUUUCUUUACUGAAGUGGGCGGGGGAAUCCAAGUGAGUUAAACGUAACAUAGCUACUUCAAUGCUGGGCUUAUGAAACGGAGUAUGGCACACCCAUGACUAUUGUUUACAGCGUCUAGCAGUGCUGGGGACCUGUGGCCUCCCACAUGUUGUUAGAUCCCACCUCCCAUCAGCUGUAGCCAGCAUGGCCGAUGGUCAGGGGUGGCAGAAGCGGGGUGUCUAACAUCUGGAGGGCCACAGAUUCCCCACCGCUGUGCUACAUCUCAGAAGUAAUUGCUCUGCAAUGAUAGGUUAGGAGCAGGGGGCAGAAAUCAACUCGAGAGUCCUGCUACUGGCUCCUGCUACUGUAACGGGGUUUCCACCCCCUUCCUCAUGCCCCCCAAAAUUGGCCCAAGUGUGUCUGUCAGGAAAAUUGCCAGAAUGGGGUGGGGGGAUUGUUUCAUCUGGCAAACUGCUGGAAUGAAUUUCUUAGCAUCCACAACAGCCUCCAGUUCUGUUUCUCCUCCUUUGAAUUCAGGAUAUUGAUUUAUGGUAGAAGUAUUACCCUUUAAGUGAUUUGUUGGCAUAAACUAUGCCUCCUCUGCAGCCCAAGACGUGAUGUUUGCAUGAUUCAAAUAUACAGACUUGUUAGCAUUCCCUUGAUCAUUUAACACCGCUCACUUAGCUACUUUUUAUCACUGGGUUAGCCUGGCAUCAUCAGCAGGUUUCCAAAACACAGGCACAACUGUAAUGAACACCCAAGCUCAGCUGGUUGCCUAGCAACCCCAACAGCAGAUUGCCAGGACCAGCUGUGGGUCUUUCAACAAGCAGCAGCUCUGACUGAUACAGGUCAGGCUCCUUAGAACUUCUAAAAUAGUUUCCAGCCAUUUGCUCACCCAGCGCAGGCAUAUUUGGGUCAUGCGUGUCAGAUGGGAUGAUUUUAGAAUGCAGCCCUUGCUAAUCAUAGAACUGGAAAAUGUGCAGAAAAGGGCAACUAAAAAUGAUCAAUGGGUUGGGGAAAGAAGGCAUUUAGGGCUUUUUAGUACAGGAAAGAAAAGCUUUCUGCAGGGAGGAAGGAAGAGAGAGGAGUUUUCUACAUUAUGAACGGUUUGAACAGGGGAAAUUCUUGCUUUCUUAUAAAUCUUUAAAACUUGGGCAUAUGAAAGUUGAUUGUCAGCAGAUUCACAGCCAAUGGAAGGAAGCGCUUUUUACAUAAUGUGUAUUAAGAAACUCACUACCGAAAAGGUGGCGGUGGACACCAGCUUAUAUGGCCUUUAAAAAAGGAAUUACCGUAUUUUUUGCUCUAUAAGACUCACUUUUUCCCUUCUAAAAAGUAAGGGGAAAUGUGUGUGCGUCUUAUGGAGCGAAUGCCGGCUGCGCAGCUAUCCCAGAAGCCAGAACAGCAAGAGGGAUUGCUGCUUUCACUGUGCAGCGAUCCCUCUUGCUGUACUGGCUUCUGAGAUUCAGAAUAGUUUUUUCUUGUUUUCCUCCAAAAACUAGGUGCGUCUUGUGGUCUGGUGCGUCUUAUAGAGCGAAAAAUACGGUAACUCUGUAAUUGUAUUAGAUCUGAAUUUGUAAAAUAGAAUAUUGUGUUGGUUUUAUGUAGCUAGGUUUUAUGCUGUUUUUUUUUUUUUUUUGAGGUUGCAGAUUUUAUUCAACUUGUUUUAAGAGGAGUGACCAACAGAUUGAGAGCUGAAUAGAAACUUCAUGUUGAAAAAGAAACUGCCUGUGAGCUUCCAAGAAGCCUCUGUAGGAGCCGCUGAACCUUGGCCUGAGCCCCCAACACAAUUCAAAUGUUCACUUUCUCGAAAACAGUUCUGCUGAGCUGAUACUGUACAGAAGGGCCACACUGCAGACUCCCAGAGACACAAUGGGAGAUAAGCACCAUUUAUGAAGAUGAGAAUGCACAAAGGUUCACCACAUUGUAAUACGGUGGAGUGGAAGCCUGUCUGUGCCUUCCUUAGGUUCUACAUUGGCUCCCAGUAUGUUUCCAAGCACAAUUCAAAUGUUGGUGUUGACCUUUAAAGCCCUAAACUGCCUUGGCCCUGUAUACCUGAAGGAGCAUCUCCACCCCCAUCAUCCAGCCCAGACACUGAGGCCCAGCUCUUUCUGGCAGUUCCCCCACUAUGAGAAGUGAAGUUACAGGGAACCAGGUAGAGGGCCUUCUCGGAAGUGGCGCCUGCCCUGUGGAAUGCCCUCCCAUCAGAUGUCAAACAAAUAACGAUACGACUUUUAGAAGACAUCCGAAGGCAGCC